AAAGAUCCGUAAUAAGUUUACAAAGAAGUUUGGGACGAAAAUGUUGAGUUAACAUCAUUCUAUUAGUUAUAUUCAACUAGGAUCCAAUGGAGGGCAAGUAUGGUGUCACCGGUCACGACACUUCCAGCUUCAUUCUCGUAUAUUUAAGUUGUAGUUAAAAAGCUCGUAGUUAGACUUUGGGUUGGGUCGGCCGAUUCACCUUUAAAUGUGCACUAGUUUACUCGUCCCAUCGGUUUGCGAUGCGCUCCUACCCUAGAUUUGGCAGGUCGUGCCUCCGGCGUUGUUAUCUUGAAGAAAUUAAAGUGCUUAAAGCAAGCCUGUCACUCUGUAUACAUGAGUAUAGGAUAACCUCAUAGGAUUUCGGUCCUAUUACGUUGGCCUUUGGGAUAGGAGUAAUGAUUACCAAGGACAGUCAGGAACAUUUGUAUUCUAUAGUCAGAGGUGGAAUUCUUCAAUUUAUGAAAUACGAACAACUGUGAAAGUAUUUACCAAUGAUGUUUUUUUUAUUAACAUAGAAUGAAAGUUGGGGGGGGGGGGGAUCGAAGAUGAACAAACCCCAUCCUUAUCUCAACCAUAAACGAUGAUGACUAAGAAUUGGUGGAUGUUACUUUUAGUACUCCUCGGCACCUUAUGAGAAAUCAAAGUUUUUGAAAGACUAAGAUGAGCUCUUUCUUGAGUCCAUGGGUGGUGGGGCAUAGUCAUUCUUAGUUGGUGGAGAGAUUUGUUUGGUUAAAUUCGUUAAUGAAUGAGACCUCAGCAUGCUAACUAGCCAUGUGAAGGUGUCCCUCCAUGGCCGGCUUCUUAUGGGACUAGAGGUGUUUUAUACCACAGAGGUUUGAGGCAUUAAUUUGUCUGUGAUGCCUUUAGAUGUUAUGUGACGCAUGUGCGCUUGAUAUAAACAAAAGUGCACCUAUUUUUAUAUCAAUUUACACCCACUUUUUGUUAAGUUUUGUUAAAGAAAUUAUUAAAAUAGGCUUCUUUUUUGUUUAUUUUUUAUUUUCAGGAGAAAACGAACCCAAGUUGAACAAAAGAAGCAAAAACGAGCAAAAAUCUGAAGAAAUAAAGAUAAGUUGUACAUACACGCCCCAUGUCUUGGAUCCAAAAACUGUUAGCACCUCUAGAAGAUCAUAUAGCGAAGCCCAAACACACCAUGUGCCCUGAGGGCACGUCCCGUGUCUUGGCUCUAAACGACAAGGGUUGACUUUUGGAAAAUUUGGAAGAUCCGAGGGACCUACAAGAGUUGACCACAG
rnacentral:lncRNA from 1 species